rnacentral:tRNA from 1 species
GUAGAUCAAGGUAUUAGUGAGUAUGCGGAUAUAACAGAUUCCUAAUCUGAGGGUCACGCGUUCGAAUCGCGUCGGGAUCACCA